GCAAUAACGCAGUGGCAGUAUCGUAGUCAAUGAGGUUAAUCCGAGGCGCGAUUAUUGCUAGUUGAAAACUUUGCCUAUUAUCA
rnacentral:snRNA from 1 species